UGGGGAAUAUUGCACAAUGGGCGCAAGCCUGAUGCAGCCAUGCCGCGUGUGUGAAGAAGGCCUUCGGGUUGUAAAGCACUUUCAGCGGGGAGGAAGGCGGUGAGGUUAAUAACCCCACCGAUUGACGUUACCCGCAGAAGAAGCACCGGCUAACUCCGUGCCAGCAGCCGCGGUAAUACGGAGGGUGCAAGCGUUAAUCGGAAUUACUGGGCGUAAAGCGACCGCAGGCGGUCUGUAAAGUCGGAUGUGAAAUCCCCGGGCUUAACCUGGGAACUGCAAUCGUAACUGGCCGGCUAGAGUCUUGUAGAGGGGGGUACAAUUCCACGUGUUGCGGUGGAAUGCGUCGAGGUCUUGAGGAAAACCGGGGGCGAAGGCCGCCCCCUGGACAAAGACUGACGCUCAGGUGCGAAAGCGUGGGGAGCAAACAGG
rnacentral:rRNA from 1 species